GCAUGUAGGUGGUAAGUACAAUUUUAUGUUCGGGAACCACCCCAAGAGUCGCAAAAGCCUUCUCUGUCUCAGCUAAUCAGUACUCGGCUUCUUCAAAAGGAUGCUCAUGCAAAAGUAUAUGAGUUUAGUCUUUUGUAUCUUUCAAUGUAGCUUGGGUCCAUCAUGGGUAGAACUGGGUCCCGUGGAAGAUGGACUAAAUUUGCACUGGGGAGGGAUUAGGUGGCCCUGUAGUGGUGUCGGAUGAUAUGGUGGAGGCACCAGAUUGUAUUGUGC
rnacentral:lncRNA from 1 species